UGGUUCUCGCAUCGAUGAAGAACGCAGCGAAACGCGAUAGGUAAUGUGAAUUGCAGAAUUCCGUGAAUCAUCGAAUCUUUGAACGCACAUUGCGCCUUCUGGUAUUCCGGGAGGCAUGCCUGUUUGAGCGUCAGCAAAACCCUUCUGUUUUAGCUUUAUUGUUACAACAGGUGUUGGGCAAUCAGAGGAUAGGUUUUAAUACCUGCUCUGGCCUUAAUAUUGCUGCACGACCGCAAGCUUUUCUUGUAAGGUUAAUGGAGUGGUAAUACAAUUUCCAUACAACUUACUUAGCUGCUAGUGGCGUUAAACAUAAUGUUGCCUUGCCGCAACUGACGUUUGACCUCAAAUCAGACAAGGAUACCCGCUGA
rnacentral:misc_RNA from 1 species